rfam:Atta colombica isolate Treedump-2 unplaced genomic scaffold scaffold18, whole genome shotgun sequence.
UAUGGUGUAGCACACAGCGCACUAGUUUGAUAUACUAGAGAUCCCGGGUUCAAUCCCCGGUA